rnacentral:rRNA from 1 species
CAGUCGCCACGGUAAUACGUAGGGUGCAAGCGUUAAUCGGAAUUACUGGGCGUAAAGCGUGCGCAGGCGGUUAUAUAAGACAGAUGUGAAAUACCCGGGCUCAACCUGGGAACUGCAUUUGUGACUGUAUAGCUAGAGUACGGCAGAGGGGGAUGGAAUUCCGCGUGUAGCAGUGAAAUGCGUAGAUAUGCGGAGGAACACCGAUGGCGAAGGCAAUCCCCUGGGCCUGUACUGACGCUCAUGCACGAAAGCGUGGGGAGCAAACAGGAUUAGAUACCCCCGUAGUCCCUGUCUCUUAUAA